rnacentral:rRNA from 1 species
GUAGUCUCGCACAGAUGCAUAUCAAUAAGCGGAGGAAAAGAAACUAACAAGGAUUCCCCUUAGUAACGGCGAGUGAAGCGGGAAGAGCUCAAAUUUGAAAUCUUCAAGGGUUUACCUUUACGAAUUGUAGUUUAAAGAAGUGUUUUCUGUUGAGGUUUUGGUAAAAGUUCUUUGGAAUAGGACAUCAUAGAGGGUGAGAAUCCCGUAUUUGACCAUUAUUUUCAGCUGUGUGAUACACUUUCAAAGAGUCGGAUUGUUUGGGAAUGCAGUCCAAAAUGGGUGGUAAAUUUCAUCUAAAGCUAAAUAUUGGCGAGAGACCGAUAGCGAACAAGUACCGUGAGGGAAAGAUGAAAAGGAACUUUGAAAAGAGAGUUAAACAGUACGUGAAAUUGUCAAAAGGGAAGCGUUUGACACCAGUGUUGUUUUCUCGAAAAUCAAUUAAAAAGAGUUUGAUUUUGUUGUGUAUUGACCUUAACAGCUUGCAUUUCAAUUUUCUUGCUUUUUUUAAUGCACUUCUCGUUUAACAAGUCAACAUCAGUUUCUUUUGUUGUAAAAAGGUCAUUGGAAGGUGGCUUUCUUUUCGGAGAAAGUGUUUAUAGCCUUUGACUCCUGCAAUCGGAGAGACUGAGGUCUGCAGCGUAGAUCCUUCGGGGUUAGAUACAUUUGUGCUAAGUUAUAGCUUUUUAUAGACAACUUGUUGACUAUGAUUAGUCUUGUAGCUUACUCGCUUAUGCUAUUUUACCUACGCUUAGGAUGUUGAGCGCAUGUCUCUCUCU